AGAUUGAUUACUUUGGAGUUGCUGCAACCGUGUACUGCAUGCUUUUUGGCUCUUACAUGAAAUUGAAAAAUGAAGGAGGAGUCUGGAAGCCUGAAGGUCUUUUUAGAAGGCUUCCGCAUUUGGAUAUGUGGAAUGGAUUUUUCCACAUCAUGUUGAAUAUACCAGAUUGCCAUCACCUUCCGUCUUUGGAUUUGUUAAGGCAAAAGCUAAAGAAGAUAUUUCAACAACACUAUACAAACAAGAUUAAGACCCUCCGUAACAGGCUAAUUGUACUGCUCUUAGAACAUAAACGUUCUCGAAAAUAAGACACAAGCACUCCUGAAAAAUCACGUUGUAAAUGCUGGCCUGCUCACUUUGAGCCUUCAUGUUUAUUGUUUGUGUAAAUGUUUCUUUCUUUUUGUAAAUGUUUCUUUUUUAAGUCUAUAAAAUAUAUUCAUGUGA